AUUGAACGCUGGCGGCAGGCCUAACACAUGCAAGUCGAACGAGCGGCGGACGGGUGAGUACUGUAUGGGGACUGCCCGAUAGAGGGGGAUAACUACUGGACACGGUAGCUAAUACCGCAUACGAUCGGCUAGCCCAUAUAGGAUUAGCGUGUAGGUGAGGUAACGGCUCACCUAGGCGACGAUCCCUAGCUGGUCUGAGAGGAUGAUCAGCCACACUGGAACUGAGACACGGCCCAGACUCCGACGGAGGCAGCAGUGGGGAAUAUUGCACAAUGGGCGCAAGCCUGAUGCAGCCAGGCCGCGUGUAUGAAGAAGGCCUUCGGGUUGUAAAGUACUUUCAGUCGUGAGGCGUUACCGACAGAAGAAGCACCGGCUAACUCCGUGCCAGCAGCCGCGGUAAUUC
rnacentral:rRNA from 1 species